AACGAACGCUGGCGGCAGGCCUAACACAUGCAAGUCGAGCGAGGACUUCGGUCCUAGCGGCGGACGGGUGAGUAACGCGUGGGAACGUGCCCUUUGCUACGGAAUAGCCCCGGGAAACUGGGAGUAAUACCGUAUGUGCCCUUCGGGGGAAAGAUUUAUCGGCAAAGGAUCGGCCCGCGUUGGAUUAGGUAGUUGGGGGGGUAAUGGCCUACCAAGCCGACGAUCCAUAGCUGGUUUGAGAGGAUGAUCAGCCACACUGGGACUGAGACACGGCCCAGACUCCUACGGGAGGCAGCAGUGGGGAAUCUUAGACAAUGGGGGAAACCCUGAUCUAGCCAUGCCGCGUGAGCGAUGAAGGCCUAGGGUUGUAAAGCUCUUUCAGUGGGGAAGAUAAUGACGGUACCCACAGAAGAAGCCCCGGCUAACUCCGUGCCAGCAGCCGCAGUAAAAC
rnacentral:rRNA from 1 species